AGAGUUUGAUCAUGGCUCAGAUUGAACGCUGGCGGCAGGCCUAACACAUGCAAGUCGAACGGUAACAGGAAGCAGCUUGCUGCUUCGCUGACGAGUGGCGGACGGGUGAGUAAUGUCUGGGAAACUGCCUGAUGGAGGGGGAUAACUACUGGAAACGGUAGCUAAUACCGCAUAAUGUCGCAAGACCAAAGAGGGGGACCUUCGGGCCUCUUGCCAUCGGAUGUGCCCAGAUGGGAUUAGCUUGUUGGUGGGGUAACGGCUCACCAAGGCGACGAUCCCUAGCUGGUCUGAGAGGAUGACCAGCCACACUGGAACUGAGACACGGUCCAGACUCCUACGGGAGGCAGCAGUGGGGAAUAUUGCACAAUGGGCGCAAGCCUGAUGCAGCCAUGCCGCGUGUAUGAAGAAGGCCUUCGGGUUGUAAAGUACUUUCAGCGGGGAGGAAGGGAGUAAAGUUAAUACCUUUGCUCAUUGACGUUAUCCGCAGAAGAAGCACCGGCUAACUCCGUGCCAGCAGCCGCGGUAAUACGGAGGGUGCAAGCGUUAAUCGGAAUUACUGGGCGUAAAGCGCACGCAGGCGGUUUGUUAAGUCAGAUGUGAAAUCCCCGGGCUCAACCUGGGAACUGCAUCUGAUACUGGCAAGCUUGAGUCUCGUAGAGGGGGGUAGAAUUCCAGGUGUAGCGGUGAAAUGCGUAGAGAUCUGGAGGAAUACCAGUGGCGAAGGCGGCCCCCUGGACGAAAACUGACGCUCAGGUGCGAAAGCGUGGGGAGCAAACAGGAUUAGAUACCCUGGUAGUCCACGCCGUAAACGAUGUCGACUUGGAGGUUGUGCCCUUGAGGCGUGGCUUCCGGAGCUAACGCGUUAAGUCGACCGCCUGGGGAGUACGGCCGCAAGGUUAAAACUCAAAUGAAUUGACGGGGGCCCGCACAAGCGGUGGAGCAUGUGGUUUAAUUCGAUGCAACGCGAAGAACCUUACCUGGUCUUGACAUCCACGGAAGUUUUCAGAGAUGAGAAUGUGCCUUCGGGAACCGUGAGACAGGUGCUGCAUGGCUGUCGUCAGCUCGUGUUGUGAAAUGUUGGGUUAAGUCCCGCAACGAGCGCAACCCUUAUCCUUUGUUGCCAGCGGUCCGGCCGGGAACUCAAAGGAGACUGCCAGUGAUAAACUGGAGGAAGGUGGGGAUGACGUCAAGUCAUCAUGGCCCUUACGACCAGGGCUACACACGUGCUACAAUGGCGCAUACAAAGAGAAGCGACCUCGCGAGAGCAAGCGGACCUCAUAAAGUGCGUCGUAGUCCGGAUUGGAGUCUGCAACUCGACUCCAUGAAGUCGGAAUCGCUAGUAAUCGUGGAUCAGAAUGCCACGGUGAAUACGUUCCCGGGCCUUGUACACACCGCCCGUCACACCAUGGGAGUGGGUUGCAAAAGAAGUAGGUAGCUUAACCUUUGGGAGGGCGCUUACCACUUUGUGAUUCAUGACUGGGGUGAAGUCGUAACAAGGUAACCGUAGGGGAACCUGCGGUUG
rnacentral:rRNA from 1 species